ensembl:lincRNA
GGCUGGAAAGGAUCUCCUGAUCUCUGAGGGUCUUCAGGCUCUGGAGCUCAGUGGGAACUCUUUGGACAGCAGCUUCGGAGUGUGCCACGCAUGGAGUGAUCAGCACCGCGGGCCAAGGAGGAAAGAACCGUGCUGGGGAGUGUGAUCCAGACGGGCGGGCUGAUGCAGAGCCCGAUCUGCAAAAGAGGAUGUACGCCCACUUGCUGGAGCAGAAGAAGGAGCUCACGUGUUGGAUUCCACUGGUCCCUUUGUCCCUCCCCCCGAGGGGCGGGGCCUGCGUGAGGCAGCACCUUCAGCCCGCCCCUCGCCGCGCGGGACUCGAGGGUUAGCAGCUGGCGGGUUAAGGUCAGAGGAGGCUGGGUGCGUCCAAGCCUAGAGACUGCGCGUGCUUAAAGCUCUCGGAGCAGAGACCGAGCUAGCGGCCUGAGCAACCCCAGCCCGUGACACCACCUGGAUCACGCGCCACUAAAGCCUUCCCGGCAUGGAGGGUGAAUGCCGGGUUCUCUCCAUCCAGAGCCACGUUGUCCGCGGCUACGUGGGCAAUAGAGCGGCCAUGUUCCCUCUGCAGCUCACCUCGCACAUCCCGCAGCGGGUAUGGGAAAUCAAGGCGCUCCACUGCUGACAAGGCUCCCAGGUAGUCAGCGGCACUCUGAGCAUCAGGGAAGCAGUGGUCAUUCUCAGUCGACUGCAGACAGAGCCGGUUGUCGAUCUCCAACAUCACUACAGAGCUGUGGGAACAUAGCAGAGGGGCCCAAACCUCAACGCUUGUCUCUAGCGUCCUAGACGCCCGACCUCAGAGAGCCAUAUCUGUCUCCACUCUCCACCACCCACCCAGCUCUCAGCUGGCAUCCAACACCAACAGAUCUUAUUGGUCACAGUGUCUCAAAGCUGUGAAUUCAAUAAUGUCAUCAUUCGCCCUGGUGGAGUCGGUUGGUGUAGCCCUUUGCUGGGACAGAGUGCCAUGUCACAGUUUCUCUAAAAGCUUGCUUUUUCUCCUCUAUCCUUCAUGGUAUUGGAGAUGAACUUGGGACCUUGAAUAUACAAGGUAGAUUCUCUACCACUGAGCCACAUCCUCUGCUGUCCCUCAAUCCUUAGGUCUCUGAGCGUCCUUAGAUUCCUUCUUCAUUUCCUUCUCUCCUGUUUCCUUGACUCCCUUCCUUCCUUCAAUGGCCUCCAAUACCCAGCUGUCUUGUAUGCGUCUUCAGCCCACAGUCAUCUCCUGGGGUUCCUCCCUGUACCUCAAGACCCCCUAAGAAUAGCAAGCUCCAAGGUGGCCCCUGCUUAACCCUAUGUCCUCAUCACUAAGCCACAUUAGCCAAGAAGGGGCCAUGUGUCACCUCACCCAUCUACUUGCCUUCUGCCUGCAUCCAAUCAGAACUCACAAACCACAGUAUCUCUAAGGUUCAGCCCUCCUUUCCUUGUCAGGGCCCGAUCUUCAAGCCCUGGUCAACAAAUGCCUCUCCCACUUCAUGUUCCCCCUACCAGGUCACCAGUGAGCAAGUUCUACAACUUUCAUGAGAUGUGGGGGAAGGGGAAAGAAGAGAGUGGGGAGGAAAGAGAGUGUCAGGGGUGAUAGUGUAUGCCGGUAAUCCUAGUACUUGGGAGGGCUGAGUAGGAGAACCAUGAGUUCAAAGCCAACCUGGGCUACAGAUUGAAUUUCAGGCCGAUGCCUAUAAAACACAAACAAAGCAAACAACAGGAAGAAAACAACAAAUAAGCCGCUGAAAUGGCUCACGGGGCAAAGUGCUCAUCAUGCAAGCCUGACAUCCUGAUGAGAACUGACUUCACACUGCUGUCCUCUAACCUCUACAGGCGUGCGGUGCCAUGGCACUUGAGGACCUACACACACACCAUACACACAAGAAGGUGCUGUCACUUGCAUUUGAAGAGUAAAAUCUCAGCGCCUCAGCUAGGCUCCCUGUAGGGUACGCAGGAUGAACCCCACCCAUAGCAAAGAGGUCAACCCGACAGACACGGAAAAAUCUGUGGAAGACGCCUUGCCAAGAGCGCUCUCAACUAAGAAGCAGCUUGAAACAGACGGUCUGGCUCAUGGGCGCACUCACCACUGUACCCAGCCCUGGGCCACAGUCACUCACCCGAUCACCUCCGGACCCAGCUCGCGACGGACCCGGGAUUCAGAGCCAGGGCUUGGCCGGUGAUAGGGGAAGACCAUGGCCUGGCCACGUGCGUCCAAGCGGAAGCGCAGUGAGGUGCGCAGAAUAGCGCUGAGUCGCUGCAGAAAGUCGGCACCGGAGCGCAGCAGCUCCUCAGGAGGCAGAAGAACUGUGAGGACCAGAACCCCGCGGGCCAAAAGGGCCGGGACCUCGCUGGCACAGUCCAGCCCAUCCCAGCCACACUCCUCAGUGUUGCAACCCUGGUCACAACGGCCAUCUGCAAAGUGGUCGGCGCAGUACUUCUCAUAAACCGGGCUGGGAACAGAAAACACAAAGUCAGAGAUUCUUCGGAUCACCUAAAUGCACACACAGAGAAUAGCAGUAGUUGGCUGCAUAACCACAAGUUCUGUGCUCCUAAUUUGAAAUAAUUGGGACUAAAACUAUUUCAGAGUUCAAAUUAGAGUUUCAGAAUAUUUGCACAUAUGCUUAAAUAUUAUAUGUGCAAAUAAAUGCAAUGAGAUACCUUUUU